GGACAGAGCAGGGAAGCAGCUGUUCCGGACAGCAUGGUGCCUUUUGCAGCAUGUGAUUUCCAGCUGGAAAUCUGUGUGGUUGUUGCAGCUCAGGAAAAUGGGAGAUCAGUCCUUCACCUUCCAUCCCCCUAAAGAAAGCACUGCUGGUAGCAACAGAGGCUCCAAAAUGGAGCAGACAUGAAGAGAAUGGGAAUGCAGAUGUAAGGGAGAGCUCUGCGUGUCUGGAAGGUUCAGAGCGACGUGGGCAGCAAAUCCAGCAAGCUGUGACAGAUCAGGCAGAAGACAGCAGCAGCCCCAGCUGAGAAAGUCAUCCUGUCUGUACCACAUUUUUUCCUUA
rnacentral:lncRNA from 1 species